rnacentral:rRNA from 1 species
CGUAGGGUGCGAGCGUUGUCCGGAAUUAUUGGGCGUAAAGAGCUCGUAGGCGGCUUGUCGCGUCGACUGUGAAAACCCGCAGCUCAACUGCGGGCCUGCAGUCGAUACGGGCAGGCUAGAGUUCGGUAGGGGAGACUGGAAUUCCUGGUGUAGCGGUGAAAUGCGCAGAUAUCAGGAGGAACACCGAUGGCGAAGGCAGGUCUCUGGGCCGAUACUGACGCUGAGGAGCGAAAGCGUGGGGAGCGAACAGGAUUAGAUACCCUGGUAGUCCACGCUGUAAACGUUGGGCGCUAGGUGUGGGGGGCCUCUCCGGUUCCCUGUGCCGCAGCUGACGCAUUAAGCGCCCCGCCUGGGGAGUACGGCCGCAAGGCUA